rnacentral:rRNA from 1 species
GACGAACGCUGGCGGCGUGCUUAACACAUGCAAGUCGAGCGGAGCGGCGAACGGGUGAGUAACGCGUGAGUAACUGCCCCCCUCUCUGGGAUAACAGUUGGAAACGGCUGCUAAUACCGGAUAGUGGGGGAUGUAGCGCGUCCUAUCAGCUUGUUGGUGGGGUAGUGGCCUACGAAGGCGACGACGGGUAGCCGGCCUGAGAGGGCGACCGGCCACAUUGGGCUGAGAGACGGCCCAAACGCGUACGGGAGGCAGCAGGGGGGAAUAUUGCACAAUGGGGGAAACCCUGAGGCAGCAGCGCCGGGGGCGGAAUGACGGCCUUCGGGUUGUAAACCGCUUUCAGCCAUGACGCGGUAGUGGCAGAAGAAGCACCGGCUAACUACGUGCCAGCCGCCGCGGUAAUUC